AGGUGUGCAGCUGGACAUAUGUCCAGGGUAGACUUUACCCCAAUUCAGUCCCCCCAUUCCCAAAAAUUGAAAAUUGAAACCUUCCCUACCGAAUAAUCCAACGCACCGCCGCCUCGUGGCCCCACUCCGAAGCCUAGGCCAGUCGGCGUAGCCGCGCAGCGCCAACCUCGCCCAGUCCAGAUUCUCCAGUCUCCACCCUCGCGGGUUGCGGCCUCGCCAAUCCACCAAAUUUUGGCGAGAGAGAAAGAAGAAGAAGAGUGAGAAAACAAAAUGAGUUCAUCAAUGGAAGUCGCGAAUACAGCAGCAAAAGCGGCGUACCGAAGUCUUCUUCGAGCGGUGAGGAAACACGUCGGGAAAGAAAACCACAAAUCCCAUUUCACGGAUUUCAUCAAACACGAAUUCAGAAGAAAUCUUAGCUCCCAAGACCCACAAAAUCUGAAGCUCGCGCAGGAUUACACUGUCUAUCUCAACAGCGUACACCAUCAGAAGGUACUGCUUUAUUUUUCAUUUGCUCCAUUAUCAAUAUUAUGAUCGUGAAUUCUAAUUUGGGAUUUUUUUUCCUGUUUAAUUUUUCAUUGUUAUGGAUGCUAGUUUUCUGCUUUAAAUGUUUGUGCAGAAAGGUGCAGUCUUUUGAUGCGAGGAGUGAGUGCUUAAAUUAGGCUUUGGUAAUGAUACUACACGUUCUCGGUUAGGAUUUGAGCAAUUUUAAGAUUAGGUAUUCGAAAAAUAGUUGACUGGACUAAAAUAAUUUGCUUGGAUAGGGGUAUAAUCGAAUCAAGUCGAGCUUAAUAUUGAAAAUUUUGAGUUUAGCUCUAUUAUUUAUUGUGUGGAGCUCGAGCUUAAUUUACGGAAAAUAUUGAAGAUUCACAAGCUUACUAAAGCUUGAGCGAGCAUAAGCGAGCUUUGCAAAUCUAUACAUUCUUCAUUUCUUGUUAAUAUAUAUGCUAAAAAAUCUAUGUUUUUCUUAUA